GGCGCUAUAGUGUAGUGGUUAUCACUCGGGAUUUUGAAGAUAGACUUCUGAUUUCCCGAAACCCAGGUUCGAACCCUGGUAGCACCU